rnacentral:rRNA from 1 species
UACAGAGGUCUCAAGCGUUGUUCGGAUUCAUUGGGCGUAAAGGGUGCGUAGGCGGCGCGGUGAGUCGGGUGUGAAAUCUCGGAGCUUAACUCCGAAACUGCAUUCGAUACUGCCGUGCUUGAGGACUGGAGAGGAGACUGGAAUUUACGGUGUAGCGGUGAAAUGCGUUGAUAUCCACAGGAACUCCGGUGGCGAAGGCGGCGUGCUGGACCGGCAUUGACGCUGAGGCGCGAAAGCCAGGGGAGCAAACGGG